AUGAUUUUGUUUUACCUUAACAUUUUGGCACUUCUAACAGAGAGUGUUUUUGCAAAUGCAAUAACAGCCCUCUCUACUAAAAAUCAUGCUUUCAAAGGAGGAAAGGUGACUCUUUCAUGCAACUACAGUGGGAAUAGCAUACAGAGUUGGCAGUGGUACAGACAAUAUCACAAUACUGCACCUGAAUUUCUCUUGCAAGCUUUGGAAAGUUUGGGUCCAGAGAAGAAGGGCCGUUAUGUUGCUGAAGCUAAAAAGAAUAAAAAACAUCUGACCCUGGAGAUCUCCAAUACUGAAGUUGAAGAUGCUGCAAUAUACUACUCGGCCCUGGUGCCCACAGUAACAGGAAACCCUUCAACACUGUACAAAAACCUGAGGGAUAGAAGAAAGAAAGAAAGAAAGAAAGAAAGAAAGAAAGAAAGAAACCAUCAAUGCAAAUAAAGAACCUUUCAUGUGUCCAACUAAAUGUGCUGUAUUAUGAAUAAUUACAUUGUUCUCUCACAGAUGAUUGAUUCAAAUUAAUUGCUGCAGACACAUGGUGGCAUUAUUACCAUUUUAUAUCUCAUAACACACUGUAGCUUUGUCAGCAGUUUCAUGUGUAUAGCACAGAUAUAAACUGAUAUAAAAUCAGCAGUAUCUAAAAUCAAAUAUACCUUAUACAUCAGUCAGACUGUAAGUCCCUUAAAAGCUACUGUAAUUAGUAAUACAAACUAAUUAGUAAUCUGUAAAGUAAUAGCAUGAAAUAUACAGAAGAUGGCAGUGUUCACUAAGAUUACAGAAGAUUUGAAUCUUCGGUUGGUAUGAAAAAAGGAAAGGAAGUGUGCACAAAAUCAGUCACAAGUUUGAGCUGCUUGUGAUGAUCCAUGAUGUUUCUAUGCAGUGUCUGGUUCAUUCUUCUCUUUUCAGGUAAGUUAUGUAACAUUUAUUUGGAAUCCUUUGUGUAAACCUUCCAAAUAUAAGUCAUCAGACAUUAAUAAUGUGUGAUGAAUGAGAAUUAAACUGCAAUGCUUUGCUUUUUUCAGGUGAUGCGGGUGGAGAAGGAAUAGCUCCCCUCUCCUCAUCUAAACUUGCUAACAAUGGUGACUCCAUUACUUUGACCUGCAAUUACAAUGGGUCUUACAGCAGUGAUUCUCUCCUGUGGUAUCGUCAGUACAGCAGCUCCAAACCUCAGUUUUUGUUUCUGGUUAGUGAAUCCGCACUUGAGCAGCCAGCUGACCCUCCAAUACCUGGAGUGACUGCUAAAGUAAAUGAUGAGAAAAACAGUGUGGAUCUGAAGAUCUCCUCUGCUUCAGUAUCAGACUCUGCAAUGUACUACUGUGCCCUGCAGCCCACAGUGACAGGAAACACAUCAACACUGUACAAAAUUAAGGGGAAAACAACUAACUACACUGAUGAACUACACUAAACAACAAAUGAAACCUUUAUACUGUAUGACAGUGUCUUUAUUGUAUGAUGCUCUAAAAAUAGAUUUGCACAAUGCUGCAGAAACAAAAUGGACAUAACCAGAAAGCUUAGCAGAAGGUCAAGCAGUUUUAAAUUGUGUAUCAGGUAAAAUCAAAUGAGCAUUUCUAUAAUACAAGGUUUUCUCUAUCACGUAUUUCUUGAGAUUAGACUGCUACUUGUAAAUCUAGUGGUAAAAGCUAUGAAAGAAAAACAUGUUGAUAAAUAUCUACUAAAGAGACAGACCCUGGUCUCAGAAAUACAGUCAUCUUGAUUUUGUCAUCCAAUACAUCAACCAUUAUGUUUAUCUUCACACUUAUUAGUUCAUGGAUUCAUCUGGGUGAGAUUAACUCAUGCAAACAUAUUUUUAUUCAUUUAAAUUAAUAUAAAUCAUUUUGAAUUGAACUGGAAUAUUAUUAAAUGUCAUUUUAUUUCAUUACUCGUCCCUAACCAAGCUAUUUAUUUGUUAGAUGCUCAGAGGCAAAUGCAAGCUUCCCACUAUUGCCAUUUAUGAGCACUGUUGUAGGUAAAAAUGUAACCAUAUUCUGUAGUUACAAAAAAUUCAUUGGAAGAGUGGUGAAUGCAGUGGUACAGAAAGUACGCUGGAUCUUCAUUCUGGAGUUCUUUAUCACAAUCUAUCAACAUGGUCUUUGGCAGCGGCAAAACCAUCUGUUAUCUCACACCUUUCAGGCAAAGCUGCCACAGUACAACUGGGCCAGUGCGCUCACCACACACCAGCUACAGGUGGGGAGGACAGAGAGUCAUAGAGCCAAUCAAGUGGAUGGGGAUUAUUAGGAGGCCAUGAUUAAGAAGGGCCAGUGGCAGCAAUUUGGCCAGGACACCGGGGUUACACCCCUACUCUUUACGAGAAGUGCCACAGGAUUUUUAAUGACCAGAGAGAGUCAGGACCUCAGUUUAAGGUCUCAUCCGAAACAUGGUGCUUUUUGACAGUAUAGUGUCCCCAUCACUAUACUGGGGCAUUAAGACCAACACAGACCACAGGGUGAGCACCCCCUGCUGCCCUCACUAACACCUCUUCCAAAAGCAUCCUAGUUUUCCCAGCCAGAAGCCCUUAAAGCAUAUUUCGUGGAU
ensembl:lncRNA